rnacentral:rRNA from 1 species
UACGUAGGGUGCGAGCGUUAAUCGGAAUUACGGGGCGUAAAGCGUGCGCAGGCGGUUUGUUAAGACAGGUGUGAAAUCCCCGGGCUUAACCUGGGAAUGGCGCUUGUUACUGGCAGGCUAGAGUGUGUCAGAGGGAGGUAGAAUUCCACGUGUAGCAGUGAAAUGCGUAGAGAUGUGGAGGAAUACCGAUGGCGAAGGCAGCCUCCUGGGAUAACACUGACGCUCAUGCACGAAAGCGUGGGGAGCAAACAGG